AGGAUAAACGCUGGCGGCGUGCAUGAGACAUGCAAGUCGAACGGACACUCGGGGCUUGCUCCGAGUGUUAGUGGCGGACGGCUGAGUAACGCGUAGGUGACCUGCCCCGAAGUGGGGAAUAACUGCCCGAAAGGGUGGCUAAUACCGCAUGUGGUGGAACGUUCAUUCGUUCCAGUAAAGCCGCAAGGCGCUUCGGGAGGGGCCUGCGUCCGAUUAGCUCGUUGGUGGGGUAACGGCUCACCAAGGCGACGAUCGGUAGGUGGUCUGAGAGGACGAUCACCCAGACUGGGACUGAGACACGGCCCAGACUCCUACGGGAGGCAGCAGUCGGGAAUUUUGCGCAAUGGACGAAAGUCUGACGCAGCAACGCCGCGUGAGGGAUGACGGCCUUCGGGUUGUAACCUCUUUAUCAGGGACGAUAAUGACGGUACCUGAUGAAUAAGUCACGGCUAACUACGUGCAGCAGCCGC
rnacentral:rRNA from 1 species